UUCGUAGGUGGUGCGGCAAGUUGGAAGUGAAAUCUCUGGGCUUAACCCAGAGGCUGCUUUCAAAACUGCCGUGCUCGAGUGCGAGAGAGGUCAGUGGAAUUGCAGGUGUAGCGGUGAAAUGCGUAGAUAUCUGCAGGAACACCCGUGGCGAAGGCGGCUGACUGGAUCGCAACUGACACUGAGGAACGAAAGCUAGGGGAGCAAACAGGAUUAGAUACCCUGGUAGUCCUAGCCCUAAACCAUCAGAACUUGGGGUGGCCCGCGUAGGCGGGUCGUCCCGUAGCUAACGCGUUAAGUUCUGCGCCUGGGGAGUACGGUCGCAAGACUGAA
rnacentral:rRNA from 1 species